GGUAUACAGAAGCAAAGAAGCAUUUUUAACUUGCAAGUACUUCAGUAUACCUGGUCACAAAAACAUGAAAAUGGCUCUAGAUGUAGUCCAACAUCUCUGGAUUCUGACGGUGUUUUUAUUUCAUUCUGAUGUAAACGGUUCAAAAGAUACGAGCUUUUGUUUGAGUCCAGUGCAGGGCUGCAUUUUCCAAUAGUGAAGAAGGAUGCAGCCGUGCGUCUCCCUCUGCGUGCUCGUUAACAUGACGACCUCGGUCCUCCAUCUCAGACACACGCAGAGCUCUCCAGUCUUUCCACAGCAGUCCACAGGUGUUUCAGGUUUCACCUACAAAACCAGGAUCCUGCAGUGUGAGAAUGUGGCCAUCUUCAACGAGAACAUGAGCUGCAGUGUUUGA
rnacentral:lncRNA from 1 species